rnacentral:rRNA from 1 species
CAGUCGCCGCGGUAAUACGUAGGUGGCAAGCGUUGUCCGGAAUUAUUGGGCGUAAAGCGCGCGCAGGCGGAUCAGUCAGUCUGUCUUAAAAGUUCGGGGCUUAACCCCGUGAGGGGAUGGAAACUGCUGAUCUAGAGUAUCGGAGAGGAAAGUGGAAUUCCUGGUGUAGCGGUGAAAUGCGUAGAUAUUAGGAAGAACACCAGUGGCGAAGGCGACUUUCUGGACGAAAACUGACGCUGAGGCGCGAAAGCCAGGGGAGCGAACGGGAUUAGAUACCCCUGUAGUCCCUGUCUCUUAUACA